rnacentral:lncRNA from 1 species
AGUGGACUUGAUGCAAGAGGAGGAGGAGGAGGAGAAAAUAAUAAAAUAGGUUGGGGAUAUUUGAAAAAUUGGGAAGGUUACAGUGGUGACAUAAGUAGCAAAAGUGAAGGGAAUCAAGGGCCUUCAUGAAAUCCAGAUGAAUGAACGUGUCUAUUCCUUUCCAUUAAGUAUGUAAAAUAAAGGGUUAAUAGGUCUUUACCCCCCUGUAAUAUAAGUCAUUUCCGGUUUUUUACCUUGUAAAAUUAUUUUUUUUAUUUACCCCCUGUAAUUUUUUUUUUGUUUUGAUUUACCCCCCUAAUAGGCCAAACAAAAACCAAUUUUUUUUUUCAAGAAAUAAUUUCGUUUUUGUUUGGCCUAUUAGGGGGUAAAUCAAAACAAAAAAAAUUACAAGGGGGUAAAUCAAAAAAAUAAUUUUACUGGGGAAAACCCGGAAAUAACAUAUAUUACAGGGGAUAAAGACCUAUUAACCCUAAAAUAAAACCAUAAACUCUUUUUUAUUCCUUGUCUAGUCUAUAAUAUGAUGAACAUCUUUAUCUAAAUUAGUUUCUUUCACCAUUGUCCUUGGAUUGUACCACUUAUAUUAUCAAAGCUAAAUGGAUAAAAAGUAUCACGAUUUCAUGUUAUAUUAUUUUUCUCAACUCACUUUUAAUUUUUUUUUAUAUUUUUUU